rnacentral:rRNA from 1 species
GAUGAACGCUAGCUACAGGCUUAACACAUGCAAGUCGAGGGGUAACGAGAGGGAAGCUUGCUUUCCUUGUCGACGACCGGCGCACGGGUGAGUAACGCGUAUCCAACCUGCCCCCAACUAGGGAAUAACCUUGCGAAAGUAAGACUAAUACCCUAUAAUUUCCUCAGAUGACAUCUGUCGAGGAAUAAAGAUUUAUCGGUUGUGGAUGGGGAUGCGUCUGAUUAGCUUGUUGGCGGGGUAACGGCCCAUCAAGGCAACGAUCAGUAGGGGUUCUGAGAGGAAGGUCCCCCACAUUGGAACUGAGACACGGUCCAAACUCCUACGGGAGGCAGCAGUGAGGAAUAUUGGUCAAUGGGCGGAAGCCUGAACCAGCCAAGUAGCGUGCAGGAUGACGGCCCUAUGGGUUGUAAACUGCUUUUAUACAGGAAUAAAGUUAGCCACGUGUGGUUAUUUGUAGGUACUGUAUGAAUAAGGACCGGCUAAUUCCGUGCCAGCAGCCGCCGUAA